rnacentral:rRNA from 1 species
AUUGAACGCUGGCGGCAGGCCUAACACAUGCAAGUCGAACGAGUGGCGGACGGGUGAGUAAUGUAUGGGAAACUGCCUGAUGGAGGGGGAUAACUACUGGAAACGGUAGCUAAUACCGCAUACCAUCAGAUGUGCCCAGAUGGGCUUAGCUUGUAGGUGGGGUAACGGCUCACCACGGCGACGAUCCCUAGCGGGUCUGAGAGGAUGACCAGCCACACUGGGACUGAGACACGGACCAGACUCCUACGGUAGGCAGCAGUGGGGAAUAUUGCACAAUGGGCGCAAGCCUGAUGCAGCCAGGCCGCGUGUAUGAAGAAGGCCUUCGGGUUGUAAAGUACUUUCAGCGGGGAGGCGUUACCCGCAGAAGAAGCACCGGCUAACUCCGUGCCAGCAGCCGCGGUAAUUC